UACGUAGGGGGCAAGCGUUGUCCGGAAUCAUUGGGCGUAAAGAGCGUGUAGGCGGCCCGAUAAGUCCGCUGUGAAAGUCCAGGGCCCAACCCUGGGAUGCCGGUGGAUACUGUCGGGCUCGAGUCCGGAAGAGGCGAGUGGAAUUCCUGGUGUAGCGGUGAAAUGCGCAGAUAUCAGGAGGAACACCAAUGGCGAAGGCAGCUCGCUGGGACGUGACUGACGCUGAGACGCGAAAGCGUGGGGAGCAAACAGG
rnacentral:rRNA from 1 species